UUAAGUACUUAUAACAUAUUUAUUGUAAAUAAUAUUUUUUUGAAUAUAAAUCAGGCCAUUUAUUAUUUUUAUUAAAAGAAGUGACUUACAAACAGAAAAAAAAAAAAAAUCAAAACCUAACAAAAUCCACCCUAAAAAAUCACAACAAAGACCCAGCCUAGAAAAGAGCUCCCCACAGUCCUUAAGGACAUUUAGAAAAUGAAAAACCAAUAGCUCUUUACAAUCAAAACCGUCUCUUCUCAAUACUGGAAGUUAAAGAGACUUUCUUCCUCAACCCUUCUUUUUUCCCCUUCGAACAACCCCAAAUCUGGUCACUGAUUACCAUUUCUUUGCUCUUCUGUCGUUUCUGACUACCGAUUAUCUUUUUCCAUCUCUUCCAUCACCGACGAAGGAAUCAUAUUAGUCAGAUAAGUAGUUCCUCCUCCUCUUAUGCCUUCUAUAGCUAGUCGAUGGGGUGUUUCAUUUGCCUUUUUGUCGAUAUAUCUAAACAUGUAUUCCUUAAAUCCUCGAUUGGAUCAUUUUGCAUCUUCAAUGUAAACACUUAUCAUAGAAUCAUCUUAUCUUUGUGUCUGUAGUUUCUUAAUCACUGUGAGGUUGUCUUCUUCAACAACCACUUUCUUGAACCUAAGAUCCAGACCCAUUUGGACUCUUUGAAGGCAGGCCAACACUUCAGCCGCAAAAAGGUCCAGAAGGAAAAAACUAAAGGGAGCCUCCAUUUCCUCUCAACGCCCCCAUCUCUCCGGCCUAGGUUUUCAGCAGUAGGUCGCCCUAGCGCCGCCGUGUAACCACCGUGCCAGAGAGUAAAAACGUCUUUUUUCUUUUAAAAAAGGAAUCCUCUCCCUUUAAAGGGGUUUUUUUCUUCAAACGCAAACCCGAUUCGGGGUAUUUUGAAACUGCAAACGAGGAAGAAAAAGAGGACGUGGCCGUCCUUGCUACUUCGCCGUCUUCUCUUUGCCGAUGCAGCCGAGAUGAAAUCUCAAGGGGUUUCUGCGGCUUUAAUGACUGGAGGAGAACUCCGACGGCGAUAGCCCACGAGGAGACAGGUAAGUCCCGACCGCCCUUUUGGUUUUCUGUUUUUCUUUAUUUAUUCCCUUUUUAAAAUAAAAAUAAAACAUAAAAAUAAAUCUAAAAUAACAGAGACACAAAUCACCUUCUGUAGUCUGAAAUCUAUAUCUUUUGUGUAUCCGAAAAACAAUUACAGAGAUUGGGUUUAGGCUUUUAUAGCCAAACUAAAGCUAAUUGCUAUGAUUUCUUGUCUUUGUUCUUUUUCUUUUCUGUUUGCUUUUAUUUCUUUGAUUUUCUUGCUGUCAGUAUUUUGUUUGUUUCUUCGUUGUCUUCUCUGUUGCAUGUGUUUUCUGUUUUGCAGGUGACUGAUGUGAUGCGCAUGGGAAGGCGGCGAUUGGUGAGACCGACGAUUGGCAAGCCGAGCGGCGGCGACGUACGCAAAGGAGGCUAGCAGAACGUGCGGUGCCGGAGGCUGACCCUGGCUAGGGUUUCUUACUGAAGAAAACGUUUUAAUCGGGCUUUGGGCUGUUAGGUUUUUUAGUUGUUGGGCUAGUUGGGUUAGAUUUAAUCUGAUUUGGGCUAGACUUUGGGUUAUUACGUUUUGGGUUUCAUUUGGGCUUUGGGGUCAUAUUGGGCCUAUUAUAGAUGGACUUUUUAUUUUUGGGUUUACUUUUGUUUUGAUAAUUGGGCCGCGGGCAGAAAUUGGGCCUUACAAUAUAACCAUGCUUCAUUAUCUCA